AGAGUUUGAUCAUGGCUCAGAAUGAACGCUGGCGGCGUGCUUAACACAUGCAAGUCGAACGGUAACAGGAAGUACUUGUACUUUGCUGACGAGUGGCGCACGGGUGAGUAAUAUAUAGGUUACGUGCCCCUUAGUCUGGGAUAGCCACUGGAAACGGUGAUUAAUACUGGAUAUUCCUGCUUGCAGGGAAAGGUUUUUCGCUAAGGGAUCGGCUUAUACUGUAUCAGCUAGUUGGUGAGGUAAUGGCUCACCAAGGCGAUGACACAUAGCGGGUUUGAGAGGAUGAUCCGCCACACUGGUACUGAGACACGGACCAGACUCCUACGGGAGGCAGCAGUGAGGAAUAUUGCACAAUGGGGGAAACCCUGAUGCAGCAACGCCGCGUGGAGGAUGACGCAUUUCGGUGUGUAAACUCCUUUUAUCAGAGAAGAACAUGACGGUAUCUGAUGAAUAAGCUCCGGCUAACUCCGUGCCAGCAGCCGCGGUAAUACGGAGGGAGCAAGCGUUAUUCGGAAUCACUGGGC
rnacentral:rRNA from 1 species